rnacentral:rRNA from 1 species
AUUGAACGCUGGCGGCAGGCCUAACACAUGCAAGUCGAGCGGAUGAAGGGAGCUUGCUCCUGGAUUCAGCGGCGGACGGGUGAGUAAUGCCUAGGAAUCUGCCUGGUAGUGGGGGAUAACGUCCGGAAACGGGCGCUAAUACCGCAUCCGUCCUGAGGGAGAAAGUGGGGGAUCUUCGGACCUCACGCUAUAAGAUGAGCCUAGGUCGGAUUAGCUAGUUGGUGGGGUAAAGGCCUACCAAGGCGACGAUCCGUAACUGGUCUGAGAGGAUGAUCAGUCACACUGGAACUGAGACACGGUCCAGACUCCUACGGGAGGCAGCAGUGGGGAAUAUUGGACAAUGGGCGAAAGCCUGAUCCAGCCAUGCCGCGUGUGUGAAGAAGGUCUUCGGAUUGUAAAGCACUUUAAGUUGGGAGGAAGGGCAGUAAGUUAAUACCUUGCUGUUUUGACGUUACCAACAGAAUAAGCACCGGCUAACUUCGUG